rnacentral:tRNA from 3 species
GCCGAAGUGGCGGAAUGGUAGACGCGCCGGACUCAAAAUCCGGUUGUGGUGACACAGUGUGGGUUCGAGUCCCACCUUCGGUACCA